CAGUCGCCGCGGUAAUACGAAGGGUGCAAGCGUUAAUCGGAAUUACUGGGCGUAAAGCGUGCGUAGGCGGUGAGUUAAGUCUGCUGUGAAAUCCCCGGGCUUAACCUGGGAACUGCGCUUGUGACUGCACAGCUAGAGUAUGGCAGAGGGGGGUGGAAUUCCACGUGUAGCAGUGAAAUGCGUAGAGAUGUGGAGGAACACCGAUGGCGAAGGCAGCCCCCUGGGCCAAUACUGACGCUCAUGCACGAAAGCGUGGGGAGCAAACAGGAUUAGAUACCCCCGUAGUCCCUGUCUCUUAUAC
rnacentral:rRNA from 1 species